GUAAUGGGUUCUUUCCUUCGGGACAGGGGAGACAGGUGGUGCAUGGUUGUCGUCAGCUCGUGUCGUGAGAUGUUGGGUUAAGUCCCGCAACGAGCGCAACCCCUAUCUUCAGCAGCCGGCAUUUUGGAUGGGCACUCUGGAGAGACUGCCAGGGACAACCUGGAGGAAGGUGGGGAUGACGUCAAAUCAUCAUGCCCCUUAUGACCAGGGCUACACACGUGCUACAAUGGCGUAAACAAAGGGAAGCGACCACGUGAGUGUAAGCAAAUCCCAAAAAAAACGUCUCAGUUCGGAUUGUAGUCUGCAACUCGACUACAUGAAGCUGGAAUCGCUAGUAAUCGCGAAUCAGAAUGUCGCGGUGAAUACGUUCCCGGGUCUUGUACACACCGCCCGUCACACCAUGGGAGUCAGUAACGCCCGAAGCCGGUGACCUAACCGAAAGGAAGGAGCCGUCGAAGGUGGGACCGAUAACUGGGGUGAAGUCGUAACAAGGUAGCCGUAUCGGAAGGUGC
rnacentral:rRNA from 1 species